CUGCCUCAAUGCAAAAGGUCAAAAAUACUGACCCCGAGUGGACACGUACCUCAGAACCCAGACACCCGCACAAAGCCCGCCUACUGAAAGCCAGGGCUCGGCUCUUCCUCUUCUCUCAGCAUCCGCCAGCAGGAGGAGGGACACCCGCCCUCAGCUGGCACCCCAGGAAGGCACGGGCUGCCUACACCACUCGCUCCAGCUCUGAACCAAGCUUAACUCCACCCUAGAGAGGGGACGGCUCCCUGAGCGACCCCGUGAGUCUCCGGAAUCCGGUCUAGCUUCUCACUGCCGAGGACACGGGGCACAAAGACGACAAGGGAUGAACAUGAUUCAAACCAAGACUUCCCUCCCAGUCCUGGCUCUUCCUGAGGACCCAUCGCAUCACUUCCGGCCCCAAAACCAUGACAGAAUCCAGGCCCCUCAUGUCACAGCCACGGAAACUGAAGCCUCGAGGCCAGGCCCAGCCAGCCACCUGAGGACACGCCGACAAUCAGCCACAAACCCAAAGGCAAAAUCCACUUCUUUUACCCCAGCUCCCUUUUCCUUGUACAAUGUCACCAUGCCUGCCCAGGUCCGGUCACAAAGUCCUCCUGUCCCUCUGGCCACUGUCAUUUAUUCCUCUAAAUGUCAUAUUUAAAAUAUGGGAGCCGGGGCGCCUGGGUGGCUCAGUGGGUUAAGCCACUGCCUUCGGCUCAGGUCAUGAUCUCGGGGUCCUGGGAUUGAGUCCCGCAUCGGGCUCUCUGCUCAGCAGGGAGCCUGCUUCCCUCUCUCUCUCUCUGCCUGCCUCUCCAUCUACUUGUGAUUUCUCUCUGUCAAAUAAAUAAAUAAAAUCUUUAAAAAAUAAAAAUUAAAAUUAAAAAAUAAAUAAAUAAAUAAAUAAAUAAAUAAAAUAUGGGAGCCUGGGUGGCUCAGUCGGUUAAGCGUCUGCCAUCGGCUCAGGUCAUGAUGCCAGCAUUCUGGGAUGGAGCCCGCAUCGGGCUCCCUGCUCAGCGGGAAGCCUGCUUCUCCCUCUGCCUCUACCUGCUGCUGUGCCAUCCCUCUCACUGUCUCUG